ACACCGUUGGUGAAGUGGUUAUCAUGCUUGCCUUCCAUCCUCUCCGUUUUCACGAGGUAGCAAGCGGCUCGGGUUCGAUUCCCGAACGGUGUA